UAACCUUGACUUCACCUUCUCUUUCAACUUCCAUUUUCAGCCUGUCAUUAAUUUUCUUUCAGGUUUUCCUCCACAUCAUUUUUCAGGAUCUGCCCCCUUCCUCCUCAUCAACAUGGUCACUACUCUGGUUUCAGGUACUUGUCAUAUACCGAUUUGAAUACUCAGCCUCCUCACUGGUCUUCCUGCCUUCAGUCUCUCCACUCUCCACUCCAUACCUUAUUCUGCUGCAUGGAUUUUUGUCAUAAAAUAUUGUUCUAUACACAUCUCUCCACUCUUCAGUAACCUCCAAGGAUUCAGUGGGAGGGAAGAGAAAGUGAGGGUUACACCGCAAAGCGCUAGCACUACAAUCAAUCCUUCACACAGGUGACUGAAAGUUGAUCAUAUUUGGCAAUCAAGAAAUCACUGUAAAGACUCAUAGAACAGAAGAGGACAGUUUUGUUUCAAAUCUUGGAGGGAUAUAAGUUCGUGGCCUUGGGAACAAGGCAAUGCUGUGAGGAGUAACAAAGUAAAAGCAACUGAAGGACCAGGCCCGUGGCAUCCAGAUUACUUCUAUGUUGCCCACUGACAUUUACAUACCACUUCUUGGGUGGCAGGGGAAGGAGGAAGAAGUGGAGCAGGAAGCAGAGGAAGGAUGGAGAUGAUGUAGAGAUAUCAGUCAGUCUUCAUUCCUCCCAGGGAAUUUGUGGAAGGAGAAUAGAUUCCCCACAUGACUGUUGAAAAAUGAUUAGUCACAAGAAUGUAAUCAGCUGUGAGAAUUCUGCUGGGAAGGAGCAGAGACACGCGCGUGGCUCCUGUUCAAAAGGGCCAUGUGGAUCGCAUUCAAGGAGCCAGCCCGCCUCCCCCUCUCUCCUUGAAAUAUCCGACUGCUGUUUUGUCUUAAAGGAGUUGGCCCAGGGAAGAAAGAAAGUGGAAAAAUUGAGACCAGGUCUUUAAAAGUUAGAUUUCAUUUUUCCAGAGCGUUUGUUUAGAAAAAAAAUAUUGUCCAAAUAACUCAAGAGCAAAACCUGUAAUUGCCAGAGAAAUGAAGAUUCCUAGCCAGGGAUUGCAAAAUAAAAGAGCUUGGAAAACUC